rnacentral:lncRNA from 1 species
CUUCUACUUUCAGUUCUGCCUUCAUCACAUCUUUGUCCGCUGGUCUUUCUAAUAAGGAGAGAUGAGUUGUUUUGCCAGUGUUAUUCCCCCCCACCAAAUGUGAGCGGGAAAGAUGGCUUCCUCUCGUUAGCUGUGCCUUCACUGCUCAGAUCUCACCGUUUGUGGGAGCAGAGUAAUCUGAUAUGUAAAUAUAGUGUUUGAUCCAAAGCGAUAGUCUAACGAGCAAAAAUCUCUACUUUUCCCCGCCUUUCCUGCACUAGUAAUUAAAACAAAGCCUGUUUGGGCUUUUCUCCUCCAUCUCCCGUCUUUUCUGUCUGUCUCUUCCUCGUCUUUCCGCCUCACUUUCCUCUCCUCUCACUCUCAUGUUUUCUGCCUCUCUGUGUCUCCUCUUUGACACAAGCGCAGCGCAGUCUUGAUUUUUACACGUUUCAUCCUUUACGUUAGGCAGCUGCUGCAUAUUUUGUCUGAGCUGUUGCUGUGAAGUACGUUUGUCAUAUUGGAAACGCGAUGUUUGAAGCCGGGCUCUUUUGAAGUGGCUGAUGUGGGGCUGUUUUAACUGGAAGGCAAAGGGACGGCGCUCGCCCGUAAUGGGGGAGUAUUCAAAUGACUGACCUCUAGAUGACAGACCCAACCAACUGCGCUAUGAAUAAACAGCAGCUUGAUGUGGUGCUUUACACUGCGCUUUGUUCAGGUGUUGAUAUCAUGUUCCUAUCAUACUGCCUGCUAAAUGACUGAAGGUCACUGGUGUCUGUGCAUAGCCCUGAGAUCCAUUUAGCUAAGAGCUCAACAGUGAAAAGACUGUGAGUGGGAGCACAGAGCCAAUCCCCCUGGCGAGGCGUGUGUAUGUGUGUGUCUUAUAGUGUGGAAACGAUGAUGAGCAGGUUGUCAAUGAGUCCUAAAACCCAUAUGAUGAUAAUUUGCUUAAUAUGUAAGAUUAGUAAUAAAGAAUGAUUCACUUAUCCCAGAGCUGGCAUACAAACGGCACAUUAAAACAAGGCUUCAACCAAAGGAGGGUGAGGGGGGCACUUAUCAUUGAAAGCUUUUAAUCAGGCUUUUCAUAUUGGCCAUUUAUAUCUCUUCACUAUAUAAAGGCUGACGUACAACUGAAUACCACUUUUAUUUCAGCUCAAAGAUUCAGAAUGCUCUUUUCUGAUUUAUUUUUCAAUCAUGGUUUGGACUCUUCGUUUUUUUUCUCUGAUUAUUUAUAAUUACGUUUUCGGUUUUUGUGUGUUUGUGUUGGUUGUUUUUGUGUGUUUCGUAGUUUCAGUGCAGCAGUGGCCGGUGGAUGCAUGGAGACACAGGUUUCCCUGAUCAGGGGCAACGAGAAGCUGCUCUUAAGCUCAAGCUCAGGCUUCUGCGGGCUGCCAGUUCGUGCCAGCCUAACAAGUGGUAUCCAGGUUCUUUAUUGUGUGCUUGUGUACUAUUGUCAAAGUUUUUUCCUGCGCAGUCUGCUUUACUUACCCUGUUUCUCUUUGUCGCCACAGUGAUCUCCAUGCUACCCUCAGCGCCUCCACCUCCAGCCUGCAACCCUUUCACUUUUGGGCAAUCUCAGUUGCUCGAACUCAACAAAACAACUCUGUUUGGAAUAAAACCUGAUCACUCUA